AGCCCUGUAGUACAGCGGUCAAGUAUAUAGCCCUUUGGAGGCUGUGACCCAGGUUCGAAUCCUGGCAGGGCUA
rnacentral:tRNA from 1 species